UGAACGCUAGCGACAGGCCUAACACAUGCAAGUCAGGGGCAGCACAAGGAGCAAUCUGAGGUGGCGACCGGCGCACGGGUGAGUAACACGUAUGCAACCUGCCUGUAAGCGGGGAAUAACCCGUUGAAAGACGGACUAAUACCGCAUAAUACUAAAUUACUGCAUGGUAAUUUAUUUAAACAUUUAUGGCUUACAGAUGGGCAUGCGCAUGAUUAGCUAGUUGGAGAGGUAACGGCUCCCCAAGGCAACGAUCAUUAGGGGUUCUGAGAGGAAGGUCCCCCACACUGGUACUGAGACACGGACCAGACUCCUACGGGAGGCAGCAGUGAGGAAUAUUGGUCAAUGGACGAGAGUCUGAACCAGCCAAGUCGCGUGCAGGAAGAAUGCCCCCUAUGGAUUGUAAACUGCUUUUGCAGGGGAAUAAAGUGCAUCACGUGUGAUGUUUUGUAUGUACUCUGCGAAUAAGGAUCGGCUAACUCCGUGCCAGCCGCCGC
rnacentral:rRNA from 1 species